rnacentral:lncRNA from 1 species
GUUCAUCCAGUGGCAUAUAUAACAAUUGUGAUGACGAAUUCCUUCCUUUGUUCGUGAACAAUCUUAUUGAAAUAUAAAUCUGUGAUUUUACUAUGUCCACAACUUCGAUGAACCAAAGCAAAUUAUACAUCGACCUGUAUUUAAAUCAAAUUGGUUCUCUUCUUCUUCUUCUUCUUCUUCUUCUGGUAUACAAUAGUCUAUCGACAUUCGAUGAUUACAUACUGUUGGCAUACGUGGACUAGUCUAUUUACAAAUCUUUACCCCAAUUUAUUCAAAAUAUAUGUUUUUUCUUAUGUUCAAUGUAUACAUGUAUAUAUUUUAAAUUGCACUAUAGUUCCGUAACUUUCUACCCAGUCGUAUAAACGAAUUGUCGACAAGUGCGUACAUUUUUUUAAAUCAAUAUUUCUGGUAUGUUCCAAUCUGUCCUUCACUAUUGACAAUGCGUAUAUAUUACAUUUUCCCAAAUUCACCCUUGGAAAAAAUAUUUAAAUAGAGUUUAAUUUCAUCAAAUCUUAUUUUUUGGGUAUUAUUUAUAUUUUUAUGAAUAAUAUUCUUUACACCAGAAAUGUUAUUUAUAA